rnacentral:lncRNA from 1 species
GUGAGCACUCCUGAGCUGGCCCCGCUGCGACGCAUCCUGGCGUCUGGAGAACUCAGCCCAACUCUGUCACUACCCUGGGAGCUCCCAGGCCUCCCCAUCCUGGGCCCCCCACCCCCUGCACCUCCCAAGGUUAUUUAUUGGGAAGACUCAGAGAGUGAAGUAUAAAGUGCUUUUACUAUUGUAAAGAAGCUUUAUUUGGCCCCAUCUGAUACAUCCUAAGCCAAUAUUAAAUGUUUCAGUUUCUUAGGGAAUCGGCUAUCCAGGACAUUUCCAAGCCAAACUACCAGCUAAUGCUAAAAAUCAAGGCAAAGUAAAAACAAAGGAAGAGUAACUUUGGCACAAGACAAACCCGAUGCAGGCAGUCAUGGGGGAUGACUGUUUUUUACCCAGAAAUGCAAACAAGUGGCCUUCUGUGCCCCAUUUAAAGAAUCCCAAACGGGAGAGUUUCCUGCCAAUGUGCAAAUCCGUCAAUACUCCCUGAGCCAUGUGGCCGGCAGGUCCAAUCCUACCGUGACUUUCCAAGCGCAAGCCUCGUCUAGUUCUUUUUGCUCAGUUGUUGUCUCACUGACGCCCUUUGCCACUGAGAUCCCUGUAAGUCACUACAGAACAAAUGGCAACUGCACAUUUAGGAUGACGUCCCUUGUGCUACUCAAACAGGCCACCAAAGGAGGAGCUCUAGAAAACCCUUACUAUUUCCUAUGCUUUGAGCUGCCCAAACCUAUUAUUUCUCAGCAUCUAAAUGAAAAACUACUUCAUGGCCUUGUAUUUUUAGAUUGUAUUCAUCCACAAGCAAUCACUCAGUUUUGGAGAAAGUCACACCUGGUCUUUCCCUGGUCUUUGACAUGAGAAUCUCACAGGCAUGGUAACUUUCUAAAAUGCAGCUGUCAGCUGAAUGCCCUACAAUGAAAAAUAAAUGUUUUGGGGGAAUGUUUCUUUGGUCACAAAAGUCAAAAAGUUGCCCCAAUGACUCUGAAAAGUGGGAAGGAGAAAGGUCACCCUCCCUGGUUUGAUCUCUCAUGUCUAGCUGGAUGAUGGGACUCGAUUAGAAGAAACGCAGGAGAAUAUGCCAGUUCUCAGUUUUGCCUCAAAGUUGUUAGGCUGUGACUUAAGCAGCCCAAGUGAAGAAAAUGUACGAAGAAGGAUCACGUGCUUUAAGGUGAAAGGUUUGAACAAGUCCUGCCAAAUCAGCUCCAUUGUGGUGGCCUGAGUGUGGCAUUGCUUCCUGUGUUCUCAGAAACUCUAACCAAAUAUUAUGGCCCACUGAUCUUGAUCACUGAAGGAAUCUCUGGAGUUGUAUUUCCUCAUCUCAUAAUGAGGAGGCCCUUGCUGAUCCUUCCUGGAUUUAGAGGGAAAGGAUUUUUUUUUUUUUUGAGAUGGAGUUUUGCUCUUGUCACCCAGGCUGGAGUGCGAUGGCGCGAUCUCGGCUCACUACAACCUCUGCCUCCCAGGAUCAAGCAAAUUCUCCUGCCUCAGCCUCCUGAGUAGCUGGGAUUACAGGCUUCCAGCCACCCUAAGCCACGAGACUGGGCAGUGUCACCAAGGAUCCCCCACUGACGAACGCCACCAUCCAACCUGGUCAGUGGCUGCUCAGGUUCUCCUGCACCCAGGAGGAUGCACCCGGGAGGAGGCUCCCGGCGCGGCUGUCUCACCUGCUUCCGGUAGACAUAGCACGCAGCGAUGGCGACCAUGGUGGAUUCUCCCACAAAGCCCGCCAGGAGGGAGCCCACGCCCAGGGUCGCACCGUGCACCCUGCAGAUGAGAACACAAAGGCAAUUUGUCUGUUAAGGCCAAGUCAAGGCACAACCGUCGAUGCCAAAACCCAGGAAAGUAAGUGUAGCCUCGAGACGGCUGAGACCAGCGGCGUUCUCCAUCUGCUGGCUUCGUAAGGGCCGCAGCUAAUAACCUAAUGUGUGAGGGGAACCAGGAACUCGGGGCUGGGCCACCUCCCUCCCACAGCACAUGGAUCCCACAGCCCUUCCCACCCUCCCCAGGACGCUGGGAGCUCCCUGAGCGCAGGGACCAUGUCCUUCUCUUCUGGUUUUCAUGUCCAGCAUACGUUCAAGCCCGUGCAGGGCCGGCCAUGCCCUGACAGGAGCUCAGUGGCUAUUAUUCGUGUCUGGGCCUGAUUUCAAAAGCACUUUUCUAAAAUGGAUCCCAAGAGCCUCCACCUGGUGCCUGGGCAGACACACAAAACAUCAUUCUGAAUUUCCGAUUCUAGACGUGCCUGGGGAUUUCCCCUGAAAAUGUAGCUGUUAAACCUCUGGACACAGUAUUGAAGUGGCAGAAGGACCCACAGCCCCAAACUCCCUGACAACAUACCCCAGGUAGGGUAGGACCACGAGGCUGGCGAUGAGGACGAUGAUCCGCAGCACAGAGCUGGGGGCAAGGACGAAGGUUUUCUUCAGUGUCAUCAGCCACCCGGUGAGAUGCGCCCUCACUGUGACUGUUGGGAGGAGCAAAGGACUCGUCAGCCGUGCCCGCCAUCCACUCCCCAUCCUGCUGCCUCUGGACCAGGGCAGCACAUCCGAGAGCCAGGGGCUGCCUAGGACCCUGGCCUUGCUGUUGAGCCGCUGGCCACCUCAUCUUCCUGCCAGGGUUCCCCAUCCCUGCUCCUGAGCCUAGGCCCGCCUCGGCUCCCCGCCUCCUCACAGCCCUUUGGAUCUAAAUGGCUGGGACCAGGCAGGCUCCUUUCUCCACUGGGACAGCAUCUUCCAGGCAGCCUAGCUGCUCUUGUCCAGUCCUGUCCCCACACUUGGCCAGCCUCGCCCUCUGAUCAUCUACCUCUAGAAGAGAACACUCAGAGAAAAGUGGCACUCUAGUGUGAUGCUGCGUGAGCAGAAAAGCUGGCAUCAGAAGCCAUCUUCCCUGCCUGCGGUCAGAGGUGUGGGGACCAAGCAGUGGGGUAGGAGGAGGAAGCUGCUCGUCCCCACUUCCCUCUGUUCUUUCCCUGGACUGGUCCUGACCACUUCCACCGAGGUCACUUCCCUUUCUCCCUCCUAAUGGUGUGGGCCCUCGUUGGUGUGCUGCCAUUUCACCAAGGGCUGCAUGGCCUGCCCAUGCCUGCCUCUUCACUGGAUCUCUGAGCUGCAGGAGGGCCAUGGGUGGACAGCGGGGAACUGUGGAGAGCACGGGGCUUGCCCUUGUCAGUAGGAAGGCCCUGAGCAUCUAGAUUCCAUCUGAAACUGGAAAGGCUUGAGGACGCGCAGGGCAGGGCCUGGGCCUUGAAGAGAGGGCCUGUUAACCUCCCUGUGGACAGCACCAGGCAAGGGCUCUUGGAGGAGGAAGUGCUCAUUCCUGGGAUAAAAAUUCCUUUCCAGGAUAUGCUGGUUUGGAAGGAAGUCUUUGCCGUCUUCUUGGUCUAACAGUGUGUCCUGCCUUCCUCUGGGUGGAAGCCUUAUAUUAAUACUAACGAGGCUAAUUUUCUUCUCUUAGGCAGGCAGACAGACCCACUGAGGUUUUUGACCAAAGGAGAGAGUCAGGAUCCCAGGCAUAUGCUAAACUGGUUGGCCCAAAUCCAACAGAUUGCAAAGAGUGGCAGGGCCUGGCAGCUGUCUGGAAGCCCUUCAUCUUACAGACAAGGAAGUGGUGUCAAAUGGACAGUAAAGGUGAAUCACAUACUCAGCUAUAGCCUGCUCCCAGCUGGGGCACUCCAGGCCCCUCCUCUGGUCACUACUGUAGAAAUUAACUGCAUGUGUCUCAAUCUGCGAGUGCAGCUGCUUCUAGAUGGUGGCACCUUCCAGAGCUUGGUUCGCCCUGUGUCUACCCAACAAGUACAGAUGCCAUCCCGGUGCUGUGAUCUUCCAGCCAUUUCUCCAUUUCUGUCACAGCCCAGAAAGUGACGCCGCAAGGCCUUAGAGCAAGGGCCGUUCCAUCAGCCCUGGCCUACCUGGGGCUCCAUGGCUCCUUUCUUUUUCUUUUUGUUUUGAGACGGAGUUUCACUCUUAUUGCAGAGGCUGGAGUGCAGUGGUGCAAUCUCGACUCACUGCAAUCUCUGCCUCCUGGGUUCAAGCGAUUCUCCUGCCUUAGCCUCCUGAGUAGCUGGGAUUACAGGCAUGCGCCACCACGCCUGGCUAAUUUUUUGUAUUUAGUAGAGACGGGGUUUCACCAUGUUGGUGAGGCUGGUCUCGAACUCCUGACCUCAGAUGAUCCACCUGCCUCGGACUACCAAAGUGCUGGAAUUACAGGCAUAAGCCACUGCGCCCGGCCCAUGGCUCCUUUCUUAACAUUGUGGCUUUGUAGAUUCUGGCUUUCCAGUUUAAUGAUUUAGGUGGAUCUUUUGGGGAAACCGAUUUUUGACUAGGUGACACACCUGGUACAGAAUUUAAAAGAUACAAAAGGGAAUAGAAUACAAAGGUCUUCUUCCCAGUGGUGACUUCCCAGGCCCUUGUCCUGCUUCCCACAGGCAACCACUGUUAGCAGCUUGGUGAGUUACUUAUACAAAAAGAAUGUAGCUAUGCAAGCAGUUAGCACAUCCAUAUGACGAUACAGACAUACACGUGCUACAUAUUUGCUAUGGAAAUGGUUGUAUACUAAUCAACCAUUCUGCAACCUGCUUUUCUGAUUUAAUCUAGAACAACCUCAUUCUUGUGUAUAGUACACCUCACACCACUAUAUUGGCUUGGUAUAAUAACUUUCCAACUGGCUUUUGUCUCAGCCAUGGGCAGUUUCUUUUCUGACCAUCCAUCUGGCCUCAGGUUCCCCUGGAGUCUUCCUUUCUCCAGCAGUCCUUCUCUGUCUUUGUAUAUCUCCAGGCUUUAGCAAUACGCUCACUCUAUUUUUCUUUUUUUGAUUUCACUUUUUAAAUUAAAGUAUUGUAAAACUGGCUUUUUGGUGCACAGUUUUGAGAAUUUCAGUACAUGAACACAUUUGUGUUCCCACCACCACAAUCAAGACAGAGGGCCGUUUUAUUGUCCCCAAAGCUCCACAUGCUAUCCUUUCAGGUCUACUUCCUUUUUACUGUUUUUGUAAUCACUGCACUUUUAAAAACAAGUUGUACGCCAGGUGCAGUGGCUCACGCCUGUAAUCCCAGCACUUUGCCGAGGAGGAGCACUUGAGGCCAGGAGUUCAAGACCAGCCUGGACAACAUGGUGAAACCCCGUCUCUACUAAAAAUACAAAAAUUAGUUGGGUAUGGUGGUGGGUGCCUGUAGUCCCAGCUACUUGGGAGGCUGAACAGGAGAAGUGCUUGAACCCGGGAGGCAGAGGUUGCAGUGAGCCGACAUUGUGCUACUGCAUUCCAGCCUGGGUGACGGAAUGAAACUCUGUCUCCA